CUUGUUUUCCUGGCACUAUAGUGCCCUGAGGGUGCCCCCACCCUCAGGGACCCCCUCCCGCCCGGCUCUGGAAGGGGGAAAGGUGUUUAAACUUACCUUUUUCCAGCGCUGGGCGGGGAGCUCUCCUCCUUCUCUCCUCCUCCGUUCCUCCUCCUGGGCUGAAUGCGCACGCGCGGCAAGAGCUGCGCGCGCAUUCAGCCCGUUGCAUAGGAAAGCAUUUACAAUGCUUUCCUAUGGAC